GAGUGAAAUGAUGCUUAACCAUCUUUCGGGACUUACCCAACAAUGGUGAUGCUUUUUCCAUUACUGAUCACUC